rnacentral:rRNA from 1 species
GACAGAGGAUGCAAGCGUUAUCCGGAAUUAUUGGGCGUAAAGGGUAGGUAGGUGGUCUCAUUUGUCUGGGGUGAAAGCCUUGGGCUUAACCCAAGAAGUGCCCCGGAAACGGUGAGACUAGAGUGCUGGAGAGGUUCGUGGAAUUCCCGGUGUAGCGGUGAAAUGCGUAGAGAUCGGAAAGAACACCAACGGCGAAAGCACUCUGCUGGGCCGACACUGACACUGAGAGACGAAAGCUAGGGGAGCGAAUGGG